ACCUCAAACAGACAACUACUUCCCUAGGGACAGCAUAGGGAUAGCAUCUGUCUCUACGGGCAGAAGUCUGACGUGGGAGAUGUAGUGGGUUAGCAACGGCGGGAUACCUGCGCAGUGAAGUGUUCGAGGCCUGUUCAGACAGAUGAGCUGCAGCCAAUUAGGGACAUCAUUAGGGUUAGUUAGUAGUUGUCUGUCUUUUUCUCUCUUUCGUAAAUAGUCAUUUUAAAGGGGAACUGUUGUGGACAAAAAUAUUAACCCAAUUCGUGUUAGUAAAAU